rnacentral:rRNA from 1 species
UACGUAGGGUGCAAGCGUUGUCCGGAAUUAUUGGGCGUAAAGAGCUCGUAGGCGGUUUGUCGCGUCUGCUGUGAAACCCGAGGCUCAACCUCGGGCCUGCAGUGGGUACGGGCAAACUAGAGUGCGGUAGGGGAGAAUGGAAUUCCUGGUGUAGCGGUGGAAUGCGCAGAUAUCAGGAGGAACACCGAUGGCGAAGGCAGUUCUCUGGGCCGUAACUGACGCUGAGGAGCGAAAGCGUGGGGAGCGAACAGG